rnacentral:rRNA from 1 species
CUACGGGGCGCAGCAGUGAGGAAUAUUGGUCAAUGGGCGCAAGCCUGAACCAGCCAUCCCGCGUGGAGGAAGACGGCCCUAUGGGUUGUAAACUCCUUUUAUAAGGGAAGAAUAUACGUAUCGUGAUAUGUUUUGACGGUACCUUAUGAAUAAGCAUCGGCUAACUCCGUGCCAGCAGCCGACGGUAAUACGGAGGAUGCAAGCGUUAUCCGGAUUCAUUGGGUUUAAAGGGUGCGCAGGCGGGCAAAUAAGUCAGUGGUGAAAUCUUACGGCUCAACCGUGAAACUGCCAUUGAUACUGUUAGUCUUGAGUACGGCUGAGGUAGGCGGAAUGUGUAAUGUAGCGGUGAAAUGCUUAGAUAUGACCCAGAACACCGAUUGCGUAGGCAGCUUGCUAGACUGUCACUGACGCUGAUGCACGAAAGCGUGGGUAGCGAACAGGAUUAAAUACCCCAGUAGUC